AAUUUGUUACGUCAUACUAUUUCGUGUUUAUAUGUGCUUUAUCGACAAUUGUCGGUUUGACUCGAGCCCAUCAUCAGCAGUACCCCUGAUCACUCAUUCAGUUUGGACGCGGUUAAAAACAGCAUCAAUAUGCGGAAUUAUUCUUGCCUUCUUUGGGUUUUAUUGUUUGUGGAAGGUCUAUCUAGUGAUGAGACAACUGAAGUAGAGGUGACUGAGGGAGAUCAUGUCCAUCUACCUAGUUCUUUGGAAGUAGAGAGUGAUGAUCAGAUACUGUGGACGUAUAACAGCUUCAUCAUAGUUAAAGUAGAGGAAAGAGCUGGAAUCAACAAUAUAUCCACAGAUGAGAAAUUCAAAGACAGACUGAAACUGGACAGCAAGACUGGAUCUCUAAACAUAACAAAUAUCGAAUUUAAACAUGUCGGAAUUUAUGAACUAAAGAUCAAUAGGAAUGGACCUGUUUGUAACACAAAAAAUUCAAUGUUACUGUCCAUGAGCAUUCAGUUUGGAAAACUGUGUCGAUCGUGGUUGUGGUUGUGUCACUGGUCAUUAUUGGUUCCCUGGUCAUGAUAAUCUACAAGAAGAAAAUAUGCUGCAAGAACGGGGGAGCCAUAUAAAAAUACUUCUACAGAGUUGCUUGAGGACAGUGUGAGUCGCCAAUUUCUUCUGGAUCCAUCUUCCUGGAAUAUAAAGUCUGUACAUUUUUAAUGCUUCUAAAGUGAAUUUUGUUAACAUAUGGAUCUAUUACAUAGAUAUUUAAACAUCUAUAGACUCUUUAACACUGCAGAUAUAGUGUGCUGUUGACUGUUGAUUCUUUUGCAUUCGAGAGUGUCAUGACUUUAACACUGUUCAACACACAUCACAUCACACAGAGAAUGGCACACACAUUCUGAAUUCAGAAUUACUCCAAUUAAGACCCAGAAAAACGUUAUAUAAAAAAGCAAACAAAAACAAACAACAAAAAAACAUUAUAUUACUUCUAUUAAGAUCUAAAAAAACAUUAUAUUUAACAGGAAAACUUUUAAGUUUGCUCUUCUGACUGCACAGACAAAGUUUUUAUAUUAUUAUAUUUUAUUAUUAUUUUAUAUUUUAUAUAAACAAGGUACCAGUUUGAUACAGGAAAUGCUUUUGAUUAUGUGAGCAUGAAAUAAUGAGAGUUUUCUUUGGUAGUAAAAUCUAGUAACACAAAAAACGAAUUUUUUGUGAUAUAUUUUAUAUUUAUUAUUUUUAGACAGACAUUUCUAAACUUCUCAUCUGUUUAUUAUUGGUUAUUAUAUACAAACAUAAAAACUAAACAAAGAAUUGAUUGAUCGCUUUACUUGUCACUCAGAUGACUCUUCCUGUCUAAGUGGUUUUUUUGUUUGUUUGUUUGGUUGUUGUUUGUUUGUUUGUUUGUUUGUUGUUUGUUUGUUUGUUUUUGUCAGUUUGUGAUAAUGAAAUAUUUACAAUAAUUAAAAUCUGUGUUUCCAGCUUGAUAAUAAUAAGUCAUCUGAUCAGGAUGGAAAACAGUGUAUAUGAAUUUGUUUAUAUGAAUUCAUUAAUCUUGUUCAUUCAGGUAUCAUUACAACAUUAAAACAGUUACAGAAACACAAAUACAAAUAUAAAGACAGAGCUUACCUUCUCUUGAUCUCUGAUAUUUUAUUCUAUAUUCUCGCUUUCAUUUAGGAGUGACAAAAAUAUUUUUUUAAUUGUUUAAUUAAUGUAUGUCUUAUUAUUGAUUUCUUAAUUUAGUUUUAAGUUUCAUUCCUAGUUAUCUGUACAACACAGUUACUGUUUAUGUAUUGGUCAAUUAAUUGGGUACAUUAUCAAAGAACCAAAAGCUUCAUUGUUUUAACAAAAUGUUUAAUUGUUACAGCAGAACCCUGGCUCUGUCAGUGUGGAUAACACUCAUCAUUUAUGUUUAUGCUAUAUGGCUUUAUUAUUUUUUUUAAACCAUUGUUUCUUUUUUCUUAUAACUUGUUCUUUUUGUGUUUUCUCACAGCAGCUAAUCCAAGGACUGAAUUAACCUUUAAAGUAGAAGACUUUUUAAAAGCAGUAGAGUCACUCAGACAUUAUAAACAUUACCAGAGAUUGAAGAGUGGAUGUGUGCUUUUCAGAAGUUAUACUCUUGAGCAGAAAUUUUUAUUUGAUUUGGCAUAAAUAGAGAAACAUGCUUACACUGAUGUAUCCGUUUGCACUGAAGCUGAUGAUAAGGUUUUCAUGUAUUAAGAGACAGUUUGACUGAUUUAGUGUACACUGCUAAAAAUUAUUUUUGUGGUGAAGUAAAUACUUCAGAAGAACAAAUGUAAUUUCUACAUUCAAUUAUUUAGUUCAGGCAAAAAAAAAAAAAAAAAAAAGAGUAAAUUCAAUAUAAUUUUUAUAUUUAAGCUUGUCAAAUUUAAUGUUUGAAAUUAUAAGUAUAUUUUACUUGGAAUUGCUUGUUAUUUUUAAAAAAAGAUUGUUUAAGUAAUAAUCAAAGUCAUGAUUUUGUUGUUCCCAUCAUGCACUUGGGCCAGGAAUAGUUUUUAAGGUAAAAUAUUUGCUGUUUUCAAUGUAUUUACACUGUUUUAUGGUUGCUUUUGUUGUUAGGUUUAGUAACUUGCUGUUUUGUGACAUCUGGAGUUUUUUUUUUUUAAUCACCUAUUCUCUGAUUGUUACCGUCAUUGUGUAUUGUGUGCCACGUAUUCAGGUCUCUGUAUUCAUUCAGUUAGUAUGUAUAUUCAGUAAACAUUAUCUGAAAAAGAA